UAAUGCUUCUGCGAGCGACAUGGGCCAC
rnacentral:sRNA from 1 species